rnacentral:rRNA from 1 species
CCUACGGGUGGCAGCAGUGGGGAAUAUUGCGCAAUGGGCGAAAGCCUGACGCAGCGACGCCGCGUGAGGGAUGAAGGUCUUCGGAUCGUAAACCUCUGUCAGCAGGGAAGAACGGUCACUGUGCUAAUCAGCAGUGAAUUGACGGUACCUGCAAAGGAAGCACCGGCUAACUCCGUGCCAGCAGCCGCGGUAAUACGGAGGGUGCGAGCGUUAAUCGGAAUUACUGGGCGUAAAGCGCUCGUAGGCGGUAUGUCAAGUCAAGGGUGAAAUCCCCGCGCUCAACGUGGGAACUGCCUUUGAAACUGGCAGACUGGAGUGGGUGAGAGGAGAGUGGAAUUCCAGGUGUAGGAGUGAAAUCCGUAGAUAUCGGGAGGAACAUCAGUGGCGAAGGCGACGAUCUGGCACAAAACUGACGCUGAGGAGCGAAAGCGUGGGUAGCAAACAGGAUUAGAUACCCGAGUAGUC